UCAAGGUACCCGAAUUGGGUUCAAUUUGGAAUCGGGUGAAUAAUCCCGAACAGUUCCCGCUGCUGUAAAUCUCGUUUGAUUUCAGGAAUGACAAUGCCACUGAAACGUAUGUUUUGGGAAGGUAUUCUUGAAGAGAGACAAGUCAGAAGACAAGCCUUGGAGAG
rnacentral:ncRNA from 1 species